UGGGGAAUCUUGGACAAUGGGGGCAACCCUGAUCCAGCCAUGCCGCGUGAGUGAUGAAGGCCUUAGGGUCGUAAAGCUCUUUCGCCUGUGAAGAUAAUGACGGUAGCAGGUAAAGAAACCCCGGCUAACUCCGUGCCAGCAGCCGCGGUAAUACGGAGGGGGUUAGCGUUGUUCGGAAUUACUGGGCGUAAAGCGCACGUAGGCGGACCAGAAAGUUGGGGGUGAAAUCCCGGGGGCUCAACCCCGGAACUGCCUCCAAAACUAUUGGUCUAGAGUUCGAGAGAGGUGAGUGGAAUUCCAAGUGUAGAGGUGAAAUUCGUAGAUAUUUGGAGGAACACCAGUGGCGAAGGCGGCUCACUGGCUCGAUACUGACGCUGAGGUGCGAAAGUGUGGGGAGCAAACAGGAUUAGAUACCCUGGUAGUCCACACCGUAAACGAUGAAUGCCAGUCGUCGGGUAGCAUGCUAUUCGGUGACACACCU
rnacentral:rRNA from 1 species